UGGGGAAUAUUGCACAAUGGGGGAAACCCUGAUGCAGCAACGCCGCGUGAGUGAUGACGGCCUUCGGGUUGUAAAGCUCUGUCUUCAGGGACGAUAAUGACGGUACCUGAGGAGGAAGCCACGGCUAACUACGUGCCAGCAGCCGCGGUAAUACGUAGGUGGCAAGCGUUGUCCGGAAUUACUGGGCGUAAAGAAUGCGUAGGUGGAUAUGCAAGGCAGAUGUGAAAUACCCGGGCUCAACUUGGGUGCUGCAUUUGAAACUAUAUAUCUAGAGUGCAGGAGAGGAAAGCGGAAUUCCUAGUGUAGCGGUGAAAUGCGUAGAGAUUAGGAAGAACACCAGUGGCGAAGGCGGCUUUCUGGACUGUAACUGACACUGAGGCAUGAAAGCGUGGGGAGCAAAC
rnacentral:rRNA from 1 species